rnacentral:rRNA from 1 species
AAACCAACAGGGAUUGCCCCAGUAACGGCGAGUGAAGCGGCAACAGCUCAAAUUUGAAAUCUGGCCCCCCCCCUCCACGGGGACCCGAGUUGUAAUUUGCAGAGGAUGCUUCUGGCGCGGCGCCUUCCGAGUUCCCUGGAACGGGACGCCAUAGAGGGUGAGAGCCCCGUCUGGUUGGACGCCUAGCCUCUGUGAAGCACCUUCGACGAGUCGAGUAGUUUGGGAAUGCUGCUCAAAAUGGGAGGUAUAUGUCUUCUAAAGCUAAAUACCGGCCAGAGACCGAUAGCGCACAAGUAGAGUGAUCGAAAGAUGAAAAGCACUUUGAAAAGAGGGUUAAACAGUACGUGAAAUUGUUGAAAGGGAAGCGCUCAUGACCAGACUUGGGCCCCGCGCAUCACCCGGCGUUCUCGCCGGGGCACUUCGCGGGGCCCAGGCCAGCAUCAGUUCGCGGCGGGGGACAAAGGCUUCGGGAACGUGGCUCCCUCGGGAGUGUUACAGCCCGCUGCGCAAUGCCCUGCCGCGGACUGAGGUUCGCGCUUCCGCAAGGAUGCUGGCGUAAUGGUCAUCAGCGAC